rnacentral:rRNA from 1 species
UACGAAGGGGGCUAGCGUUGCUCGGAAUCACUGGGCGUAAAGCGCACGUAGGCGGCUUUUUAAGUCAGGGGUGAAAUCCUGGAGCUCAACUCCAGAACUGCCUUUGAUACUGAGAAGCUUGAGUCCGGGAGAGGUGAGUGGAACUGCGAGUGUAGAGGUGAAAUUCGUAGAUAUUCGCAAGAACACCAGUGGCGAAGGCGGCUCACUGGCCCGGUACUGACGCUGAGGUGCGAAAGCGUUGGGAGCAAACAG